rnacentral:rRNA from 1 species
AUUGAACGCUGGCGGCAGGCCUAACACAUGCAAGUCGAACGAGUGGCGGACGGGUGAGUAAUGUCUGGGAAACUGCCUGAUGGAGGGGGAUAACUACUGGAAACGGUAGCUAAUACCGCAUACCCUCAGAUGUGCCCAGAUGGGAUUACCUUGUUGGUGGGGUAACGGCUCACCAAGGCGAAGAUCCCUAGCUGGUCUGAGAGGCUGACCCGCAACACUGAAACUGGGACACGGUCCAGACUCCUACGUGAGGCAGCAGUGGGGAAUAGUGCACAAUGGGCGCAAGCCUGAUGCAGCCAUGCCGCGAGUAUGAAGAAGGCCUUCGGGUUGUAAAGUACUUGCAGCGGGGAGGCGUAACCCGCAGAAGAAGCACCGGCUAACUCCGUGCCAGCAGCCGCGGUAAUAC